rnacentral:rRNA from 1 species
AAUCAACGCUGGCGGCGUGCCUAACACAUGCAAGUCGAUCGGUAACAGGUGUAGCAAUACAUGCUGACGAGAGGCGGACGGGUGAGUAAUGCUUGGGAAUCUGCCUAUUAGUGGGGGGACAACCCGGGGAAACUCGGGCUAAUACCGCAUACGCUCUACGGAGGAAAGCCGGGGGACCGCAAGGCCUGGCGCUAAUAGAUGAGCCCAAGUCGGAUUAGCUAGUUGGUAGGGUAACGGCCUACCAAGGCGACAAUCCGUAGCUGGUCUGAGAGGACGACCAGCCACACCGGAACUGAGACACGGUCCGGACUCCUACGGGAGGCAGCAGUGGGGAAUAUUGGACAAUGGGGGCAACCCUGAAUCCAGCGACGCCGCGUGGGUGAAGAAGGCCUGCGGGUUGUAAAGCCCUUUCGGUGGGGAAGAAAAGUCUCGACCUAAUACGUCGGGACCUUGACGUAACCCACUAAAGAAGCACCGGCUAACUCUGUGCCAGCCGCCGCU